rnacentral:rRNA from 1 species
GGUUAAGCGACUAAGCGUACACGGUGGAUGCCCUGGCAGUCAGAGGCGAUGAAGGACGUGCUAAUCUGCGAUAAGCGUCGGUAAGGUGAUAUGAACCGUUAUAACCGGCGAUUUCCGAAUGGGGAAACCCAGUGUGUUUCGACACACUAUCAUUAACUGAAUCCAUAGGUUAAUGAGGCGAACCGGGGGAACUGAAACAUCUAAGUACCCCGAGGAAAAGAAAUCAACCGAGAUUCCCCCAGUAGCGGCGAGCGAACGGGGAGGAGCCCAGAGCCUGAAUCAGUGUGUGUGUUAGUGGAAGCGUCUGGAAAGGCGCGCGAUACAGGGUGACAGCCCCGUACACAAAAA